CCUUGACAAAGUUGUGCCUGGCCUGCUGAAACUGUACUGGUCUAAGAAGGGAGCUCUUGGUGAGGAGAUGGAAGACCUCCUGGAUAAACUUGAUGAACAGACAUCCAACACUGUGUCCAACGGGCACUGAGAGGCCUGCCCAUUUUCCUCAAGACAAGAUGCAACAGAGGUUUUCCUGAAGUGCUUAGACACUGACAUUUUGGAACCAGUGUUGAACGGUGCAUCAGUUGCCAUCCUCACCAUCCUACAAGAUGACGAUGCUGAUACGUCUGUGCGAGAACAUCCAGUUGUGUUGGAAGGGGACAUCGUGCUACAUAACAUUCCAGAUCUCUCUACUGCCCUGGCACACCUCUUUGGCCUUCUGUAUGCCCUCAACAUUGAUUACCCAAAGCAGAUGAGUUUUACCUUUGAAGCAAUUCAGGCCAUCUUAUUUUGGCCUGGUCGGACAAUAUGAAGGUGAAGUGGAUAAAUCAUUAUUCGAAAUGUAAAUUUUAGUCAGAUGAAUCUGUAUUGUUGAGAAUAUAUGGUGAAAAUUUGUCUUGUAGUAUUUUAAAAGAUUUGUUAUAGUGUUAGUUUCCUCUUCAUUGAUGGUAACAUUUCUA